rnacentral:snRNA from 1 species
AGCUUUGUGCAGUGGCAUUAUUGCAGCCAAUGGGGUUUAUCCGAGGCGUGAUUAUUGCUAAUUAAAAAAAUGUUUA